UACAAAGGGUGCGAGCGUUAAUCGGAAUUACUGGGCGUAAAGCGCACGUAGGCGGCUUGGCAUGUCGGGUGUGAAAUCCCCGUGCUCAACCUGGGAACUGCAUCCGAAACUGCCUUGCUAGAGUAUGGGAGAGGGAAGUGGAAUUUACGGUGUAGCGGUGAAAUGCGUAGAUAUCGGAAGGAACAUCAGUGGCGAAGGCGACUUCCUGGACCAAUACUGACGCUCAGGUGCGAAAGCGUGGGGAGCAAACAGG
rnacentral:rRNA from 1 species